GCGCGCCUCGCCACCAUCCUCAGCUUCGGGGACCAUGCCGAGGAGGGCACCGGCGCCUUCCCGGAGCCACAGGAGGACUACCAGCAAGAACACGACGACGACGACGACGUGGCGUCGGACGCCAGCGGCGGCAGCUUCGAGUUCGCGUUCACGCAGCCGCUGGCGCCAGCGGGCGGGGAGGCGCUGACCGACGACCUCUUCACGCACGGCCGCAUCCUCCCGGCCUACCCGGUCUUCCACCGCCGCCAGGCCCACGACGACGACGCGUCGGCCUCGGCCACCUACGCGGCCGCCUCGCCGGACACGUACUGCGCGUGGGCGCCGCGGUGCGCAUCGGGGUCGCCCGCGCGCGAGCCGGCCGCCUUCCCCAAGAGCACGUCCAUGGGCACGGGCGAGGCCGCGUGCUGGUUCCGCCUGCACGACAUCCUCGGCUCCGGCGGCAGCUCCCACAUCGACGGCAAGGAGAAGUUCCUCUUCCUCCAGCCGACCCUCGCCAAGCCCAAGACUAGGACCAGCGCAUUAUGCGCCGCCGCCGGAGGAGACAAGCGCGUCGCAGCAGAAGCAGAGCAAGAAGAAGGGGCGGCCGCCACUCCGACGAAGAUGGACAUGGCCACCGUGCACAGGCUCUUCUACAGCAAGCCCGGAGCCGCGGCCGGCCCCGACGGCGAGAGGACGGCCAACACAAACACGUCGUACCUUCCCUAUCGGCGUCGUACCUGCACAGGCUCUUAUAUUCUUUUAUACUUGUUAUAA
rnacentral:rRNA from 1 species